CUUCCCAGCGGGGAAUCGAACCCCGAUUGCCCGCGUGACAGGAAGGAAUACUAUAACCACUAUACUACCGGGGA